rnacentral:tRNA from 1 species
UACCGGGUGGUGUAAUGGUAACACAGGAGUUUUUGGCACUCCUAUUCCUGGUUCGAGUCCAGGCCCGGUAG